GCGCUCGUACUCCAAUUGGCAGAGAGACUGGCCUUAGAAGCCAGGUGUUGUCGGUUCAAGUCCGACCGAGCGCAC
rnacentral:tRNA from 1 species